UACGAGGGGGGCAAGCGUUGUUCGGAAUUAUUGGGCGUAAAGCGUGUGUAGGCGGUCCUCUAAGUCGGAUGUGAAAUCCCUGGGCUCAACCCAGGAAGUGCACUCGAAACUGGAGGGCUAGAGUAUCGGAGAGGUUGGUGGAAUUGGGGGUGUAGCGGUGGAAUGCGUAGAGAUCCCCAAGAACACCAGUUGCGAAGGCGGCUGACUGGACACAUAUUGACGCUGAGGCUCGAAAGCAUGGGGAGCAAACAGG
rnacentral:rRNA from 1 species